ensembl:lncRNA
UAAUAGGAGCUGUAGUUCAGUUCCCUGAUUUCUUGUUUUUUGUGUGUUUUUAAAUCUCAGAAGAGUCUAACAUUGCAGAGGAAGUUCUUCGGAACACAGGAGCAGGUUCUCCUCAGGAAGUGAGCAUUUGAUGACAGAGUGGUCCUGUUCUCCAGUCCAAUUUUGAACACCAUAAUGGACAACAUAUCAGAACUGUCUGAUUAUGAGUUGGAUCCUUCAGUGGUUCAGUCUGGUUCCUCUUCCUCUAACAAAGGAACAGACAGCAUCAUGCCUGUCUGACAACUUGGCUGGUCCUUCGGAUCCUGAGGCACUUGGUCUUCAUCGGGCCUGGCAAGCUCCAACAGUCCAAAAGAACUGACUGAGAGAAUUCUCAGAGAGCUCUCUGCAUCCUCUAGUUGUUCAAAGCUAGAGGAAGUUCUAAAUGGGACGUUUGUUGAGCUUCUUCAAUGGUUUGGGGAAGAAGGUUCUCUGCAUAAGGCCUUGAACCCUCGAGACUCCACAUUUGAUGAGGCCCUGAUGACUGCCCUACGGAAGCAUCUAGAUGCAGAUGCUUCAACUCCAGUGCCUGAAACUGAGGAGGUGAAGAGCGCACACUCUCUAAGAAGCGCAAGGGCCUCUUCUCCUAUCUUAAGAUGCCAACACUCUUCAAAAAGAUAUCCAGAAAGAACAAGGUUGGACAUGCAGAUCAGGACCCUUUGCAGAGUGGUCGCACUGCUGCUAUGGGUGGAUCCAGCAAUGCGGAGGAGAAGGAGAUGCCUAGGAGACGAUGCAUUUUCAGCAGGAUGUUCUCCUGCUUCAGGAAAUCAUGCGUCUUCUGCUAUGGCAUCUGGGCAUCUGUCCUGUCAGAGGUCGUUAAUGACUGUGUGCACCAUUACCUUUAG